rnacentral:rRNA from 1 species
GACGAACGCUGGCGGCGUGCUUAACACAUGCAAGUCGAACGGAAAGGCCCUGCUUUCGUGGGGUGCUCGAGUGGCGAACGGGUGAGUAACACGUGAGUAACCUGCCCUUGACUUUGGGAUAACUUCAGGAAACUGGGGCUAAUACCGGAUAGGAGCUCCUGCUGCAUGGUGGGGGUUGGAAAGUUUCGGCGGUUGGGGAUGGACUCGCGGCUUACCAGCUUGUUGGUGGGGUAGUGGCCUACCAAGGCUUUGACGGGUAGCCGGCCUGAGAGGGUGACCGGCCACAUUGGGACUGAGAUACGGCCCAGACGCCUACGGGAGGCAGCAGUGGGGAAUAUUGCACAAUGGGCGGAAGCCUGAUGCAGCAACGCCGCGUGCGGGAUGACGGCCUUCGGGUUGUAAACCGCUUUCGCCUGUGACGAAGCGUGAGUGACGGUAAUGGGUAAAGAAGCACCGGCUAACUACGUG